AGAUUGAACGCUGGCGGCAGGCCUAACACAUGCAAGUCGAGCGGUAGAGUGGUGCUUGCAUCUCUUGAGAGCGGCGGACGGGUGAGUAAUGCCUAGGAAUCUGCCUAGUGGUGGGGGAUAACGUUCGGAAACGGACGCUAAUACCGCAUACGUCCUACGGGAGAAAGCGGGGGACCUUCGGGCCUCGCGCCAUUAGAUGAGCCUAGGUCGGAUUAGCUAGUUGGUGAGGUAAUGGCUCACCAAGGCGACGAUCCGUAACUGGUCUGAGAGGAUGAUCAGUCACAC
rnacentral:rRNA from 1 species